AACGAUGAAGCCCAGCUUGCUGGGUGGAUUAGUGGCGAACGGGUGAGUAACACGUGAGUAACCUGCCCUUGACUCUGGGAUAAGCCCGGGAAACUGGGUCUAAUACCGGAUAGGAGCGCCUGUCGCAUGACGGGUGUUGGAAAGAUUUUUCGGUCAUGGAUGGACUCGCGGCCUAUCAGCUUGUUGGUGAGGUAAUGGCUCACCAAGGCGACGACGGGUAGCCGGCCUGAGAGGGUGACCGGCCACACUGGGACUGAGACACGGCCCAGACUCCUACGGGAGGCAGCAGUGGGGAAUAUUGCACAAUGGGCGGAAGCCUGAUGCAGCGACGCCGCGUGAGGGAUGACGGCCUUCGGGUUGUAAACCUCUUUCAGUAGGGAAGAAGCGAAAGUGACGUACCUGCAGAAGAGCACCGG
rnacentral:rRNA from 1 species